CACCGAUGCAGGCUCUACGGGGCGCAGCUGGCGCGAAACUUUACAAUGCAGGAAACUGUGAUAAGGGAACCCCGAGUGCCCGUAUAUGCGGGCUGUCCGGAUGUUUAAAACGCAUCUGAAGAAAGGGCCGGGCAAGACCGGUGCCAGCCGCCGCGGUAAUACCGGCGGCUCGAGUGGUGGCCACUUUUAUUGGGCUUAAAGCGUUCGUAGCUUGAAUAAUAAGUCUCUUGGGAAAUCUGCAGGCUUAACCUGCAGGCGUUUAAGAGAAACUGUUGUUCUAGGAACCGGAAGAGGUGAGAGGUACUCCGGGGGUAGGAGUGAAAUCCUGUAAUCCCCGGGGGACCACCGAUGGCGAAGGCAUCUCACCAGGACGGCUUCGACAGUGAGGAACGAAAGCUGGGGGAGCGAACCGGAUUAGAUACCCGGGUAGUCCCAGCCGUAAA
rnacentral:rRNA from 1 species